GGGGGUGUAGCUUAGUGGUAGAGCGUGUGCUUAGCACGUGAGAGAUCUUGGGUUCAUCCCCAAUACCCCUC
rfam:Ictidomys tridecemlineatus contig010964, whole genome shotgun sequence.